rnacentral:rRNA from 1 species
UAGGGAAUCUUCCACAAUGGACGCAAGUCUGAUGGAGCAACGCCGCGUGAGUGAAGAAGGGUUUCGGCUCGUAAAACUCUGUUGUUAAAGAAGAACAUAUCUGAGAGUAACUGUUCAGGUAUUGACGGUAUUUAACCAGAAAGCCACGGCUAACUACGUGCCAC